UUUUUUUUUUUUUUUUUUUUUUGGCUGGGGNUUUGGCUGAGUGCCUUUUUUGCUACCUCCAAGAGCUGUUAAUUUCGCUCGCUGCCGAGCAAAAGUCAAAGUCAGAGUCUAAACAGCUUGUAAUGAGUUUUCAAUGGCCCAUCUCAAUGAAAUUGAGGGCAAAGACCAGCCGGCUCCGGCAAUGUCAGCCCUCGGAAUUUAUUAGCGAGGGCGAGGUGUGUUCGGGGAAGGCGCAGCAGAGGAGGCACCGAAGUUGCUGGGCUCUUAGGCAAGAGCCCAGCCCUUAUUAAAAAGUGGUGCCAGCAGACUGUUCCGGCAGGGCACACGCUGUUAGACUAUCUGCCACCAGCCGCCCCCGUCCAGGGUCAGACCUGGCUGGGAAACCAAGGGGAGAGAAAUCUCUUGGAAGAAAGAGGAGUUGCCAUCACGUGGUGAUGCGGUCACUCCCAUCUGUCGGUCCCCUACAAUUAACACACAAAGAAGGACGUGUGCCUUUGUCCCUCAAGACACACACGCACACAUCUCAAUCUGCUCACGGUGAUUUAGACAAAAAUGCAGCAGUAUUCAAUUUUGAGUUCUGACUUUUAUUUGUUCGAUUCUGUUGAAACGUCUCUGUCACGGCCGUUUCCAGCAGAUGCCUUAUGAUUUUACCCCCAAGAACACGCUUCAGAAUCUUGCAGUACUUUUCUGCACAAAUGCCAAAUCGCCAUAUAAAACAGAAUUCUGCAUGCACCGCCUGUCCAAUAAACUCAGCGCUGGAGAGAGAACCAUUUGCCACUAGCGUCUCUGGCUGAGAGACAUGCACUGCAAAGCCACUAAACGUAACAUACGAGAGCCAGGGGGUGGUUUGAAGGGUGGGGGUUGGGGGGGGCCACCUUACUUGGGUGUAGCUGCCUAUUUUCAUUUUAGGAGGAAUCCACAGGGUUUGUGCUAAGAGCUGACACAUCCAGUGAGUGACAUAAAUCAGGACUGUUGGAUCCUCCAAGACAAAAUGUUUGGGGUUUUUUUUUUUGGCCUUUUGGGGGCCACACUCAUGGCAUAUGGAGGUUCCCAGAAAAGGCAAAAAGACCAAAAAAAGAAAUGCAAAUGAGAAUCAUGAUGAGACAUCACUUCACCUCACAUCUACUAAUAGGCUAUUAUCAACAACAACAACAGCAGCAGCAGCAGCAAAUGUUAGGGAGGAUGUGGACAAUAUGCUGCUGCUGGGAAUGUAAAAUGGUGCAGCCGCUGUGGAAUCCAGUGUGGCAGUUUCUCAAAGGGUUAGAGCUACAAGCACCACAUGACCCAGCACCUGACGCCCAGAUAUGUAAAAAGAAGAACGGAAGUCAGAGAUUCUAAGAGGUAUUCAUUCACUAGUGUCAAGAGCAGCAUUAUUCAGUUAAUAGCCAAAGGGGGAAGUGAGCCAAGCAUCCACCAACGGUGAACGGAUUAAAAAAAUGUGGCAUAUGUACACAGGGGAAUGCUAUUCAGCCCUGAAAAGGAAAGCGAUUUUGAUAUAUGCUACCAUAUGGGUAGAACCUGAAAACCUGUUUAGUGACAUAAAACACAGGAGGACAGAUAUGCCUGAUUCCACUGACAUGAGAUACAGGAGUCUAAUUCACGAAGCAGAAAGUAGAACAGAGGUACCCAGGGCUGCAAGGAGUGGAGGGGAGAGCGCUUAUUGUUUAAUGGGUACAGAAUGUAUAUUGAGGAUGAGAAAAACAGCUUUAGGUAUGGUUAGUGGUUACACAAAAUUGCAAAUGCAGUUGAUAUCACUGAUUUAUAUACUUAAAAUGGUUAAAAUGAUAAAUAUUACACUACAUACAUUUUAGCACUAUUAAAAACAAAAUGGGUAUCCCCCACACACAAGCACUAAAAUCUAUGCACUGUGUCAUAAGCAAUCUUGCCAGGCUCUUAUUCUGGGCCCUUUAACUCCUACUUUACAAUCAAGGCUAACAAACUCGAUUAACUGGAUUCCCUGACUCAGAGUCUGGAGACAGCUCCCUCAUGAGGCCUCUGCACAUUUUAAUCAGGACAGCAAAUACCUGAAAGGGAUGACCAAGAGCAGCAUGACUCAAGGUUCCCUGAUGCAAUGCUUUAUGGAAUAGCUUGCGAGCCUUUUUAGACCAGCUUGGAAAGAGCAGAGAGCAAGGCACACGGUCUGUCUCAUCUCCUGCGCUUGGCACGUGGAGCUAGACCCAGACAGCACCCGUGCCAUAAACUGUCAGGAGGCCACAUGUGUGUUCACGCGACCUCUGGCCGCAGGUCUCACCCACAAUGGACGGGCUUGGGGUGAGGGGUCCCGAAGAGGUGAAAGGUCUGAACAUCACCAGCAAAAAAAUCCCCACUGGUGACUGGCAAAGAUAACCAGUGGGACCAGCAGGAGAGGCUGCGGCGGCUGGUCCAGGUGAGGCCCGGGCCCCACACGGCAUCCCUCUGGCAGCAGGUGUGGGCGCAGCAGGAGCAUCCAGGGGGCUGACAGGGCCUGGGUGUGGUCCAGGGCAGCACCACUCACGGUGUGGUCCUCAGGACUGGCUGCUCAGCAUCACCCAGAAGUCUGUCAGAAAUGCAAAUUCAUGGGCCUCUUCUAAGUCAGAACCUCCCGGGGCCAGAGCCCAGGAAUCAAUGUUUUAAUAACUCCCCAGGUGUUACUCGUGCCUGGCAAGGUGUUCUUAGGGUUGCACUCUUACAGAAACCUGAGCUCGCAGAGCAAGAGUUUUCUGAAUGCCUCUGAGAGGCUCUCUUCAUUCAGUCCUCCCAGCCUAGUCUAGGCACCUAGGCUCCCACACCUUUGACCGCAGAGGGUUCCCCUCCCAGCCCACCCACUUGGAGCUCCUCGGGACACCUGUGCCCUAAGCUUUUCCAGGGAGACGUGCAUCUCCCCGAAUGGACUCCCCCCGGGAUGAGGUCGUGGCUCCGUCAUUCCUUCCCUACACCUUCACAUCCUCAGAACCCCGGCAGUCCUUGGUGCUUAUCACCCACUAGCAGCCAAGGCAGGUAAAUUUCCUCCAUGAAAUCUCUUCCCCAUUCCUUCCAGCUCCAGCAUCCCCAGUCCGGGAUGGCUUCUCCUACAGAGCUGCCCAAUUGUGGCUCUGGUUUCUCUCUGUGUCAGUCCCUCCUUGGUCUGUCACUCUCCUCUGUCGUGAGCCAGGUCUUACCUAGAACCUCCAGUAUUGCUAGCUCUUCAUAAGCAGAUGUCUAUACCGGAGAGGCACAACUGAAAUAUUGGCGUUUGUGAAAGCGAUUAUUUUUUAAGAACUCUGCUGUCCCCGCAGUCAGCCCAGGACACAGCAAUGGCAAGAGAUCGGACCUCUGUGCAAAGGUUCGCCAAGUUCCCGCCAUCAUGCUGGCAUCACCUCCCUGAAUCCUCACGGGAUUGGGAAGAGGUGCUAGUCUUGCACCCAUCUUGCAGAUGGGGAAACUGAGGCUCAAACGGCCUCAAACAGUUGGUCCAAGGUUAUCACAGGUCAUGUGGGGGAGCCAGGAAUCAAAAGAGGCAGCAUGGCUUUUGAACCCACGCAGUUAUUCACCAGUUUACAGGGCAGUGCAAUACAGGAAAGGGACGAGCGAUGCAGGGAAUGUCGGCACGAGAGGCGCAAAGAAGGGGACGCGAUUUCUGGAGAAGUGGGUGACUGGUCUGAAUGGAAGGAGCUCUGACCCUCCCAAGCCACUCCUGGAAGAGGCAUCUCCCCAGAACAAUAAGCGCCCCCCC
rnacentral:lncRNA from 1 species